rnacentral:rRNA from 1 species
AUACGGAGGAUGCGAGCGUUAUCCGGAUUUAUUGGGUUUAAAGGGUGCGUAGGCGGUUUGUCAAGUCAGCGGUGAAACGCAAGGGCUUAACCCUUGACCUGCCGUUGAAACUGAUUGACUAGAAUGCGGAUGCUGGGGGAGGAAUGUGUGGUGUAGCGGUGAAAUGCAUAGAUAUCACACAGAACACCGAUUGCGAAGGCAUCUCACAAAUCCGUGAUUGACGCUGAGGCACGAAAGUGUGGGGAUCAAACAGGAUUAGAUACCCUGGUAGUCCACACUGUAAACGAUGAUAACGCGCUGUCGGCGAUACACAGUCGGUGGCCAAGCGAAAGCGAUAAGUUAUCCACCUGGGGAGUACGACCGCAAGGUUGAAACUCAAAGGAAUUGACGGGG